rnacentral:rRNA from 1 species
CCUUUUCGGAGGUACUCGAGUGGCGAACGGGUGAGUAACACGUGGGUGAUCUGCCCUGCACUCUGGGAUAAGCCUGGGAAACUGGGUCUAAUACCGGAUAGGACCGCACUUUAGUGUGUGUGGUGGAAAGUUUUUUCGGUGUAGGAUGAGCCCGCGGCCUAUCAGCUUGUUGGUGGGGUAAUGGCCUACAAGGCGGCGACGGGUAGCCGGACUGAGAGGUUGGUCGGCCACAUUGGGACUGAGAUACGGCCCAG